rnacentral:rRNA from 1 species
AGUGAACGCUGGCGGUAGGCCUAACACAUGCAAGUCGAACGGCAGCACAGUAAGAGCUUGCUCUUACGGGUGGCGAGUGGCGGACGGGUGAGGAAUACAUCGGAAUCUACUUUUUCGUGGGGGAUAACGUAGGGAAACUUACGCUAAUACCGCAUACGACCUACGGGUGAAAGCAGGGGAUCUUCGGACCUUGCGCGAUUGAAUGAGCCGAUGCCGGAUUAGCUAGUUGGCGGGGUAAAGGCCCACCAAGGCGACGAUCCGUAGCUGGUCUGAGAGGAUGAUCAGCCACACUGGAACUGAGACACGGUCCAGACUCCUACGGGAGGCAGCAGUGGGGAAUAUUGGACAAUGGGCGCAAGCCUGAUCCAGCCAUACCGCGUGGGUGAAGAAGGCCUUCGGGUUGUAAAGCCCUUUUGUUGGGAAAGAAAAGCAGCAGGUUAACACCCCGCUGUUCUGACGGUACCCAAAGAAUAAGCACCGGCUAACUUCGUG